UACAGAGGGUGCAAGCGUUAUUCGGAAUUAUUGGGCGUAAAGGGCGCGUAGGCGGCCUGGCAAGUGGAAGGUGAAAUCCCUCGGCUUAACCGAGGAACUGCCCUUCAAACUGCUUGGCUUGAGACCGGGAGAGGUGAGUGGAAUUCCCAGUGUAGCGGUGAAAUGCGUAGAUAUUGGGAGGAACACCAGUGGCGAAGGCGGCUCACUGGACUGGUACUGACGCUGAGGCGCGAAAGCGUGGGGAGCAAACGGG
rnacentral:rRNA from 1 species